UACGGGGGGGGCAAGCGUUGUUCGGAAUUACUGGGCGUAAAGGGCUCGUAGGCGGCCAACUAAGUCAGACGUGAAAUCCCUCGGCUUAACCGGGGAACUGCGUCUGAUACUGGAUGGCUUGAGUUUGGGAGAGGGAUGCGGAAUUCCAGGUGUAGCGGUGAAAUGCGUAGAUAAUCUGGAGGAACACCGGUGGCGAAGGCGGCAUCCUGGACCAACACUGACGCUGAGGAGCGAAAGCCAGGGGAGCAAACGGG
rnacentral:rRNA from 1 species